AGUCGAACGGCAGCACGGGAGCUUGCUCCUGGUGGCGAGUGGCGAACGGGUGAGUAAUGCGUCGGAACGUACCGAGUAAUGGGGGAUAACGCAGCGAAAGUUGUGCUAAUACCGCAUACGCCCUGAGGGGGAAAGUGGGGGAUCGCAAGACCUCACGUUAUUCGAGCGGCCGACGUCUGAUUAGCUUGUUGGUGAGGUAAUGGCUCACCAAGGCGACGAUCAGUAGCGGGUCUGAGAGGAUGAUCCGCCACACUGGAACUGAGACACGGUCCAGACUCCUACGGGAGGCAGCAGUGGGGAAUUUUGGACAAUGGGGGCAACCCUGAUCCAGCCAUUCCGCGUGAGUGAAGAAGGCCUUCGGGUUGUAAAGCUCUUUCAGCCGGAACGAAACGGUACGCCUUAAUACGGUGUGCUAAUGACGGUACCGGCAGAAGAAGCACCGGCUAACUACGUGCCAGCAGCCGCGGUAAUACGUAGGGUGCGAGCGUUAAUCGGAAUUACUGGGCGUAAAGCGUGCGCAGGCGGAUUGUUAAGCAAGAUGUGAAAUCCCCGGGCUUAACCUGGGAAUGGCAUUUUGAACUGGCAGUCUAGAGUGUGUCAGAGGGGGGUGGAAUUCCACGUGUAGCAGUGAAAUGCGUAGAGAUGUGGAGGAACACCGAUGGCGAAGGCAGCCCCCUGGGAUAACACUGACGCUCAUGUACGAAAGCGUGGGUAGCAAACAGGAUUAGAUACCCUGGUAGUCCACGCCCUAAACGAUGUCAACUGGUUGUUGGGGGAGUGAAAUCCCUUAGUAACGAAGCUAACGCGUGAAGUUGACCGCCUGGGGAGUACGGUCGCAAGAUUAAAACUCAAAGGAAUUGACGGGGACCCGCACAAGCGGUGGAUGAUGUGGAUUAAUUCGAUGCAACGCGAAAAACCUUACCUACCCUUGACAUGUCCAGAACCCUGC
rnacentral:rRNA from 1 species